rnacentral:tRNA from 1 species
GCGAAGGUGGCGGAAUUGGUAGACGCGCUAGCUUUUGGUAGCGCAACUGGUUUGGGACCAGUGGGUCGGAGGUUCGAAUCCUCUCUCGCC